ensembl:lncRNA
UUUCACCAUCCCAAUGGGAGAGGACAGUUUACAUGGAACUUGUUGCCUGGGGUUACUGUGGCUCCCUGAAUGCCUGAGCAUAGUGAGAGCUGGGAAGGCUCAGAAGUUUCCAUUCUGAGAGACCUGAACCCUCUAGCCCCAAGGAGCUAAAUCUAGGAGAAGGUUUGAAGGUGCCUGAAUUGGCUCUAGACCAGAUAUCCGUGGGCACCUGGCUGCCCCACAGGCCUCACGCUCUCCUCUUCUGGCUCCCCCUGCAGCAUGUCCUUCCAAGGCUGGGCCACCUAUCCCAGCUUGCCCUCCCAGGACCGCAGGAAUGGCAGUUUUCUACAAGGCCUGGCCAAGAGCCCUUCAUUCCUGGGGAGGCUUCAGGGUUAUCGUAGGGCAAGGUCAAUGGAGACACCCUGGGGCCACUCCAAGGUCUACCCAUCUUCCAGAGACUCUCUUAAGGGCCCUCUGAGGGCCACUUCUGAAUUGCUGGAGUCUGGGAACUCUUCCUGCCUGUGGCACUCCCACAGUCCUAGGCUCCUAGACAGAUCACAGUCCCCAAGCCUCCUGAGAGGCAUCCACCCCACUGAAGCGAGCCCAUCAUCCUGCAGCCUCUUUGGCAAAGGCUCAAACCCACUCAUCAGACGUCGGGCUUCUCUACCCCACCUUCUGGACUGGAUGGACAGUGUGGUCGGCCGCGGGGCCCUGGCCCUCCAGGACUGGAGCAGAUCAGAACAAGACCUUCGGUCAUCAUUGUUAGAGAGUGUUCAGCAGGGGGCAGAGCUGGUGGGCCGCCUGCCGACAGCCCGUGGGACCCUGAAGAAGCAGGCCCAGGAGAUCCAAAGGAGGGAGAAGGCUGUGGAGCUCAGCCAAAUGAAGUGUGAGCUGCUUGACAUAAGGCAGAAGAUGGAAAGCUCUCUCGUUCGCCUGGAGUGGGAAAGAAGAGAGCUAAAGAGGUCCAGAAGACAGGAGCAGCAGCAGGGCAGAGAGCUCCAGGACAAAAUCCUGCAUCUGCAGGUAGAAGUGAUGAAAGUCAAGUUGUGUUUGGACAGAAUGAGCCAGCAGUCACUGUUUGUGGAGGACCCAGAGAAGGAGCCCAGAGUCAGACCUGAGAGUCAGGGGGCUGACCUCAAUACCAAGCUCCAGAUGUUGGUGACCAACCAGGACUCCAUCUUUCAGGAGAAGCUAGGACAGGAGCUGAGCUUUGAUGCCAAUCAGACUCUAGAGGGCCAGGGGGAAGUAACAGUGGAGGGCCCGAAGGCCUCUACCCCCCAGGAGUCCCAGGACAUGAUCUUUCUUCAAGAAGAGCUGGUGAUCAUUAAAGAGGUGAAUGAGCUGCUCUCCUCAGAGCUGGACCAGAGCCGCCGGAGACUGAGGACCUGUCUAAACCAGCUCUACCAGCUGCAGGCAGAGAAGAAGAUUUCCCACAGCUGGCUCCAGGCCCUGGAGAUGGAGCAAGCCCAGCUGAUGGGAGAGAACUUGGCACUGUUGUCUGUGCUCCAGGGGCAAGGGGGAGGCGCAGAGCUCGGGACAGCUUCGUGGCAGAAUAGUGAGGCCAGUGGAUAUCCUCAGUUCCAGAAGGAGUUGGUCACUCCCCAACAGGAGCCAGAGGAGGAAACAUCAUGCCCCAGGACCCAUAAGGAGGAAGUUCAGUAUUGGAAAGCACGCUGGCAGCAGGUGGCAAAUGAGUUGAAAUCCAAGGAGGAGGAACUGGAGACGGUCCAGAGACAGACAUGCAAGAUCCCCUGGGUCCAAGAGCUUCUCCUAGGGAAAGAGGAGGGUCUGGCUGGGUUGAAAGACCCUGUGGGCAGGGAAAACGAGACCACUGACCUGGAAGGGAGCCGGCUGGCAAAGAAGUAUCAACAUCUUUGUUCUGGAGAAGACUCAAGUUCACUAACAGAGAAGAUGGAAUAUCAGAGAGAUCUCCAAAGCAAGAUGAAAAUACUGGAGCAGGAAAAUGCUCAGAUGGCACUGGUGAUCCAGAGGUGGAAGCAGUUCCAAUCCAAAGCAGAGUCUCAUAGACCCCUCCAGGAGCUUCAAGGAUCUUCAUCAGGAAGCCCUCAGGUGCCAGAGCUGCUUCAGCCAUUUCAGAGAGACGCCCGAGGGGGCCAGGAAGCAGGAGCUCCUGGGCUGUUGUCAGAGGCAGAAAUCCUAAGACAGCAGCUGCAGAAGGAGAGAACCUUGGGGCAGGAGCUGGAGCAGCGACUUCAGAGCCUCAUCUCAGACCUGCAGGAGCUGAAACUGAGGAAACCAGAAGAACACAAGGCUUCCCAGGACUCCGGACAGCAGGGAGUAGAGACCGCCGAGAGUCAGCUCAGGGAGAGCAGACAGGAGAACCUAAGGUUGGAGCUCCUGGUGUCAUCUCUACAGCAGAAGCUGGAGGACAAGGAGCAGGCACUGAGGGAGCUCCUGACCCCAAGGACCUCUGAGCAGAGGGAGACAGAGAUGACACCCUCCUCCCUGCUUAAGAAACUACCCCUUAACUCCCAGCCAGGCUUCAGCCAGUUGGUCCCAGAAGAGCUGAAGAGGGGCCCCCGAGCUGGCUGGGAGGGGGUUCCCCAGGGCCACUGCACUCACUGUAACACCUUCCUGGAACAGCUGGACAAAGUGCUUCGAAGUUGGGAAGCAUCUUCAAAGCCAGCAGAGGAGAAGCCACAGGCACUGGGGAAACCCCAGAAAGUCUUGGGGAGUCCCAAUAAGCAUGCCCCAAAGGGGGGCCGAGCUCCCGGGAGUGACCUCAGGGACAUUGAGCGGGUUAAGCAGCAGCAUCGGCUGGUGACUGAGCAGUUGCAGGAUCUGUUUGGGGAGAGACGGGAGAGGACCGGCAAGGCUGGGCAGCCCCCCAGGGAGUGGCCAGAGGGAAGCUCUGGGGAUCAGGGGACCAAGAAGCCCCCAGUGGAGCAGGUGAGAACCAGUCCCCCUCUCCAGUCUGCCCAGCCACAUCCCAAACCCAGUCCUCUAUCCUCCUGCUGGUUCCCGGCUCCUCCUCAAAUCCUACUAGAAGAAUGGUCCAAGGCAGACGCUUGGGAGGGGUGGGAGCUCGCUCCUGGUCAUGAAGAAAAAUCACAAUUUAGUCCAGUUUGA